UACGAAGGGGGCUAGCGUUGCUCGGAAUCACUGGGCGUAAAGCGCACGUAGGCGGCUUCUUAAGUCAGGGGUGAAAUCCUGGAGCUCAACUCCAGAACUGCCUUUGAUACUGAGGAGCUCGAGUCCGGAAGAGGUGAGUGGAACUGCGAGUGUAGAGGUGAAAUUCGUAGAUAUUCGCAAGAACACCAGUGGCGAAGGCGGCUCACUGGUCCGGUACUGACGCUGAGGUGCGAAAGCGUGGGAGCAAACAGG
rnacentral:rRNA from 1 species